rnacentral:rRNA from 1 species
AUUGAACGCUGGCGGCAGGCCUAACACAUGCAAGUCGAACGGUAACAGGAAGAAGCUUGCUUCUUUGCUGACGAGUGGCGGACGGGUGAGUAAUGUCUGUGAAACUGCCUGUUGGAGGGGGAUAACUACUGGAAACGGUAGCUAAUACCGCAUAACGUCGCAAGACCAAAGAGGGGGACCUUCUCGCCUCUUGCCAUCGGAUGUGCCCGGAUGGGAUUAGCUAGUAGGUGGGGUAACGGCUCACCUAGGCGACGAUCCGUAGCUGGUCUGAGAGGAUGACCAGCCACACUGGAACUGAGACACGGUCCAGACUCCUACGGGAGGCAGCAGUGGGGAAUAUUGCACAAUGGGCGCAAGCCUGAUGCAGCCAUGCCGCGUGUAUGAAGAAGGCCUUCGGGUUGUAAAGUACUUUCAGCGGGGAGGAAGGGAGUAAGGUUAAUACCUUUGCUCAUUGACGUUACCCGCAGAAGAAGCACCGGCUAACUCCGUG